UGAAUACGAGACGCUAAGGCGUUGAAGUAGUGUAUGUCAUACUUCCAAGAAAAGCUUGCACUGUCAUAGAUAAAAAACGCCUGUACCAUAACCGACACAGGUGGGUAGGUAGAGUAUACUAAGGGGCGCGAGAUAACUCUCUCUAAGGAACUCGGCAAAAUAACUCCGUAACUUCGGGAGAAGGAGUGCCUUAUUUAUAAGACUGCAAUAACAAGAUCCAAGCAACUGUUUAUCAAAAACACAGGUCUCCGCUAAGUCGUAAGACGAUGUAUGGGGGCUGACGCCUGCCCAGUGCCAGAAGGUUAAAGAAGUUGGUUAGCAAUAGCGAAGCUGAUAACUGAAGCCCUGGUGAACGGCGGCCGUAACAAUAACGGUCCUAAGGUAGCGAAAUUCCUUGUCGGGUAAGUUCCGACCCGCACGAAAGGCGUAAUGAUUUGGAUACUGUCCCGGAGAGGGGCUCGGUGAAAUAGACUUGUCUGUGAAGAUGCGGACUACCUGCACCAGGACAGAAAGACCCUAUGAAGCUUUACUGUAACUUGAAAUUGAAAUUGGACUUUAUUCGCGCAGUAUAGGUGGGAGGCGUUGAUUGUAAUCUUGCGGGAUUAUUGGAGCCAUCAGUGAGAUACCACCCUUGUAAUGUUAGAUUUCUAACUUUGAAUCAUUAUCUGGUCAAAGAACAGUUUCAGGCGGGCAGUUUGACUGGGGCGGUCGCCUCCUAAACGGUAACGGAGGCGUACAAAGGUUUCCUCUGAACGGUUAGAAAUCGUAUCUAGAGUGUAAAGGCAUAAGGAAGCUUGACUGUGAGACCUACAAGUCGAGCAGGGACGAAAGUCGGUCUUAGUGAUCUGACGGUACUGAGUGGAAAGGCCGUCACUCAACGGAUAAAAGUUACUCUAAGGAUAACAGGCUGAUCUCCCCCAAGAGUUCACAUCGACGGGGAGGUUUGGCACCUUGAUGUCGGCUCAUCGCAUCCUGAGGCGGUAGUACGUCCCAAGGGUUGGGCUGUUCGCCCAUGAAAGCGGUACGCGAGCUGGGUUCAGAACGUCGUGAGACAGUUCGGUCCAUAUCCGGUGUAGGCGUUAGAAUAUUGAGAGGAGCCUUCUUUAGUACGAGAGGACCGAGAAGGACAUACCUCUGGUGUACCAGUUAUCGUGCCAACGGUAAACGCUGGGUAGCUAUGUAUGGAGUGGAUAACCGCUGAAAGCAUCUAAGUGGGAAGCCCACCUCAAGAUAAGUAUUCUCAUCACGGAAGUGAGUAAGGUCACGGUAAGACUAACCGUUUGAUAGGCAUUAAGUGUAAGUACAGUAAUGUAUGUGCUGAGAUGUCCUAAUAGACCGAGGACUUG
rnacentral:rRNA from 1 species